CAGGCAUUGUGACUCUUGGACACGCCUGUCGCUAACUUGUCAAGCCGCGGGCUUAUUUGUUCAGCACUGAGAGAAGUUUCCGUAUCAAGAGCCUGCCUCUGAGGGAACGGACUGUGGACAGUGGUCAAGGAGAAAUUCCUCUUCUGAUUAGUUUUAUUGCCCCUGUGACAUCUGAGGAGUAUGAAGUAGGCUGGUAAUUCAGUCCUAGAAGGAAAUUGGAAUAUUAAAGAAACAGCUUAUUGUUGCAAUCCCAUCAAACUUGCCUCUUCCAGUGGCAGUGAGAAGCUCCAUUGCGGGUGGAGAUGGAUUUAGGAAAGACUUCCUGCAUGAAAAUGGCAUUUCAACUGGACAUAGAAAGAUCAUCUGGAGGGAAGUUGGAGACAGCUUGGGGACCGAGGAGUAUUCCAAAGUACAACGGGUCCAGAGCCAAGGGUUGCAGGUGGCCUCCAGAAGCUGGAAAAGGCAAGGAGACAGAUGCUCCUCUGGAACCUCCUGGAAGAAGUACAGCCUUGCUCACCUCCCGAUUUUAGCCCAACGAGUCUGUCCUCAGAUUUCUGACCUCCA